rnacentral:rRNA from 1 species
UGGGGAAUCUUGCACAAUGGGGGCAACCCUGAUGCAGCGACGCCGCGUGAGCGAUGAAGCCCUUCGGGGCGUAAAGCUCUUUCGACCGGAACGAUAAUGACGGUACCGGGAGAAGAAGCUGCGGCUAACUACGUGCCAGCAGCCGCGGUAAUACGUAGGCAGCAAGCGUUGUUCGGAGUUACUGGGCGUAAAGAGUGCGUAGGCGGUUUCGUAAGACAGACGUGAAAUCCCCGGGCUCAACCUGGGAACUGCGUUUGUGACUGCGAGGCUAGAGUACGGCAGAGGGGGGUAGAAUUCCACGUGUAGUAGUGAAAUGCGUAGAGAUGUGGAGGAAUACCGAUGGCGAAGGCAGCCCCCUGGGUUAGUACUGACGCUCAUGCACGAAAGCGUGGGGAGCAAACA